rnacentral:rRNA from 1 species
ACACCCUACGGGGGGCAGCAGUGAGGAAUAUUGGUCAAUGGCCGCAGGGCUGAACCAGCCAAGUCGCGUGAGGGAUGACGGUCCUAUGGAUUGUAAACCUCUUUUGUCAGGGAGCAAUUGAGUCCACGUGUGGUCUUAGCGAGAGUACCUGAAGAAAAAGCAUCGGCUAACUCCGUGCCAGCAGCCGCGGUAAUACGGAGGAUGCGAGCGUUAUCCGGAUUUAUUGGGUUUAAAGGGUGCGUAGGCGGGAUGCCAAGUCAGCGGUCAAAUACGGGGGCUCAACCUGCGUCCGCCGUUGAAACUGG